GCGAACGCUGGCGGCAGGCUUAACACAUGCAAGUGGAGCGACGAACCGGGGCUUGCCCCGGGGCAGAGCCGCGAACGGGUGAGUAACACGUGGGUAACCCACCCCGAUGACCGGGACAACCCGAGGAAACUCGGGCUAAUACCGGAUGUGCUCCUUGACCUCGAGGUCAAGGCGUAAAGAUAGCUUCGGCCUUCGCAUCGGGACGGGCCCGCGGCCCAUUAGCUUGUUGGUGGGGUAACGGCCUACCAAGGCGACGAUGGGUAGCUGGUCUGAGAGGACGAUCAGCCACACUGGGACUGAGACACGGCCCAGACUCCUACGGGAGGCAGCAGUGGGGAAUUUUGGACAAUGGGCGCAAGCCUGAUCCAGCCAUGCCGCGUGUGGGAAGAAGGCCUU
rnacentral:rRNA from 1 species